UGCGGAGGAAAAGAAACCAACAGGGAUUGCCUCAGUAGCGGCGAGUGAAGCGGCAAAAGCUCAAAUUUGAAAUCUGGCGUCUUUGGCGUCCGAGUUGUAAUUUGAAGAAGGUAUCUUUGGGCCCGGCUCUUGUCUAUGUUCCUUGGAACAGGACGUCACAGAGGGUGAGAAUCCCGUGCGAUGAGAUGACCCGGGUCUGUGUAAAGUUCCUUCGACGAGUCGAGUUGUUUGGGAAUGCAGCUCUAAGUGGGUGGUAAAUUCCAUCUAAAGCUAAAUAUUGGCGAGAGACCGAUAGCGAACAAGUACAGUGAUGGAAAGAUGAAAAGAACUUUGAAAAGAGAGUGAAAAAGUACGUGAAAUUGUUGAAAGGGAAGGGCUUGAGAUCAGACUUGGUAUUUUGCAUGUUGCUCUCUCGGGGGCGGCCGCUGCGGUUUACCGGGCCAGCAUCGGUUUGGAGCGGCAGGAUAAUGGCGGAGGAAUGUGGCACGGCUUCUGCUGUGUGUUAUAGCCUCUGACGAUACUGCCAGCCUAGACCGAGGACUGCGGUUUUUACCUAGGAUGUUGGCAUAAUGAUCUUAAGUCGCCCGUCUGA
rnacentral:rRNA from 1 species